rnacentral:rRNA from 1 species
AUUGAACGCUGGCGGCAGGCCUAACACGUGCCAGUCGAGCGGAUGAAGGGAGCUUGCUCCUGGAUUCAGCGGCGGACGGGUGAGUAAUGCCUAGGAAUCUGCCUGGUAGUGGGGGAUAACGUCCGGAAACGGGCGCUAAUACCGCAUACGUCCUGAGGGAGAAAGUGGGGGAUCUUCGGACCUCACGCUAUCAGAUGAGCCUAGGUCGGAUUAGCUAGUUGGUGGGGUAAAGGCCUACCAAGGCGACGAUCCGUAACUGGUCUGAGAGGAUGAUCAGUCACACUGGAACUGAGACACGGUCCAGACUCCUACGGGAGGCAGCAGUGGGGAAUAUUGGACAAUGGGCGAAAGCCUGAUCCAGCCAUGCCGCGUGUGUGAAGAAGGUCUUCGGAUUGUAAAGCACUUUAAGUUGGGAGGAAGGGCAGUAAGUUAAUACCUUGCUGUUUUGACGUUACCAACAGAAUAAGCACCGGCUAACUUCGUG